AUGGCGAUGAUGCUGGACGCCUUCGCGUCCUACCUCGGCGACCUGCUCAAGCAGACGGCGGAGGAGGAGCUGGGGAUGAUGCUCGGCGUCUCCGGCGACAUUGACAAGAUGGGCGUCAAGCUCGGGGGCCUCAAGAACCUCCUUGCUGAUGCCGAGAGGAGGCGCAUCACAGAUGAUAGCGUGCAGCAAUGGGUGACCGAGCUCAAGCGCGCCAUGUACGAAGCCACCGACAUCCUUGACCUCUGCCAGCUCAAAAUCAUGGAGAGGGGAUCGUCUACCCCAGACAUUGGAUGCUGCAAUCCCUUGCUCUUCUGCUUGAGGAAUCCCCGCUUCACCCAUGAAAUCGGCGGCUGCAUCAAGAAGCUCAACCAGACGCUCGACUCCAUCAAGGAGCGAAGCUCUUCCUUCAGCUUCCUCAAUCUCACUUCCUAUGAAGAUCGGAUGAGAGUCUGA
rnacentral:rRNA from 1 species